CAAGAAGUAGUUUAAUUAGAAUAUCA
rnacentral:ncRNA from 4 species